rnacentral:lncRNA from 10 species
UCCUUACUCCAUGGAUUACCUUUCAAAAUGGACAUUUAAAAAUAAUUUUAGAAUGAUACUAAAGCUACAAUAGAGGGUCACCAGUCAUAACUUUGUCAGAAAUGUAAAAGAAAAAUGUGAAAGGCAACAAAGAACACAGAAGUUGAAGGAAGGAUCAUUUGGGAUAAGGAGUUUGACUCUUGCAGUGAGAGUACAAAUGGGCAAUUGGAGAGAAGAGGAGGAACAAAGCGCUUGGGCAACACAUUCUAUGUGAACCGA